rnacentral:rRNA from 1 species
CCUACGGGAGGCAGCAGUGAGGAAUAUUGGACAAUGGGCGUAAGCCUGAACCAGCCAAGUCGCGGGAGGGAUGAAGGUUCUAUGGAUCGUAAACCUCUUUUAUAAGGGAAUAAAGUGUGGGACGUGUCCUGUUUUGUAUAUACCUUAUGAUUAAGGAUCGGCUAAGUCCGUGCCAGCAGCCGCGGUAAGACGGAGGAUCCGAGCGUUAUCCGGAUUUAUUGGGUUUAAAGGGUGCGUAGGCGGCCUGUUAAGUCAGCGGUGAAAGUCUGUGGCUUAACCAUAGAAUUGCCGUUGAAACUGGGAGGCUUGAGUAUGUUUGAGGCAGGCGGAAUGCGUGGUGUAGCGGUGAAAUGCUUAGAUAUCACGCAGAACCCCGAUUGCGAAGGCAGCCUGCCAAGCCAUGACUGACGCUGAUGCACGAAAGCGUGGGGAUCAAACAGGAUUAGAUACCCCGGUAGUC